AGUAAGACCAAGCUUGGUGCCCCAUUCCCUUGUCUGUAGCCAUGUCUGUGGGCUCUGGAGUUGGCCACCUGGGUGAGGGCCUGCU
rnacentral:pre_miRNA from 1 species